rnacentral:snRNA from 1 species
GAAUGUGAGGGUGAUCUGGCUGGGACAUCUGUCAUCACAUUGAUCAUCACCAGGGUUGAUUCGGCUAAUUUCACUGACUAGGCGGAUGUCCCCUUCCCCCCUUACUGCUCCACGUGUGUCCGUCCCGAAGCUGUGCGCUUGAUCAAAGAAGAUGACAAUCCUGGUAGAGGAGGACUAGUCUUCAGUCAAGGGUAUAUGUGUGGCUGCACUCCCCUGCUAGAACAUCCAAACAAGCUUUCAAGAAGAGCCUAUGGAAGGCUGGAUGCAGUGGCUUAUACCUGUAAUCCCAGCACUUUGGGAGGAUGAGGCGG